rnacentral:rRNA from 1 species
UACGAAGGGGGCGAGCGUUGUUCGGAUUUACUGGGCGUAAAGGGCGCGCAGGCGGCUCAUUUUGUCAGGCGUGAAAGCCCCGGGCUUAACCUGGGAACUGCGUUUGAUACGGAUGGGCUAGAGUUCGGGAGAGGAGAGUGGAAUUCCCAGUGUAGAGGUGAAAUUCGUAGAUAUUGGGAAGAACACCGGUGGCGAAGGCGGCUCUCUGGACCGAUACUGACGCUGAGGCGCGAAAAGCGUGGGGAGCAAACAGG